rnacentral:rRNA from 1 species
UUGAACGCUGGCGGCAUGCUUUACCCCUGCAAGUCGAACGGUAACAGGCCUUCGGGUGCUGACGAGUGGCGAACGGGUGAGUAAUGCAUCGGAACGUACCCAGAGGUGGGGGAUAACGCAGCGAAAGCUGUGCUAAUACCGCAUGUGAUCUGAGGAUGAAAGCGGGGGACCGAGCAGCAAUGUUUGGCCUCGCGCCUUUGGAGCGGCCGAUGUCGGAUUAGCUAGUUGGUGGGGUAAAGGCCUACCAAGGCGACGAUCCGUAGCUGGUCUGAGAGGACGACCAGCCACACUGGGACUGAGACACGGCCCAGACUCCUACGGGAGGCAGCAGUGGGGAAUUUUGGACAAUGGGCGCAAGCCUGAUCCAGCAAUGCCGCGUGCGGGAAGAAGGCCUUCGGGUUGUAAACCGCUUUUGGCAGGAACGAAACGGUGUCCGCUAAUACCGGGCGCUAAUGACGGUACCUGCAGAAUAAGCACCGGCUAACUACGUG